rnacentral:rRNA from 1 species
AACGAACGCUGGCGGCGUGCCUAAUACAUGCAAGUCGAACGAGAAAGUGGCUUCGGCCAUGAGUACAGUGGCAGACGGGUGAGUAAUACAUGGGUAAUCUACCUCCGAGAGUGGGACAACCUUCCGAAAGGAGGGCUAAUACCACAUAAGACCACAGUGACAUAUGUCACAGGGGUUAAAGGUGGCCUCUAUUUAUAAGCUAUCGCUUGGAGAUGAGCUCAUGCACCAUUAGCUUGUUGGUGAGGUAACGGCUCACCAAAGCUCUGAUGGUUAGCUGAUCUGAGAGGUUGAUCAGCCACACUGGAACUGAGACACGGUCCAGACUCCUACGGGAGGCAGCAGUAGGGAAUAUUGCGCAAUGGAGGAAAGUCUGACGCAGCGACGCCGCGUGGGUGACGAAGGCCUUCGGGUCGUAAAGCCCUGUCGGAUGGGACGAAAAACGGUAUGGCUAAUAUCCAUGCCGCUUGACGGUACCAUUAAAGGAAGCACCGGCUAACUACGUGCCAGCCGCCGCCGUAA